rnacentral:snRNA from 1 species
AUCACUUCUCGGCCUUUUGACUAAGAUCAAGUGUAGUAUCUGUUCUUAUCAGUUUAAAAAUAUGAAUCAGGCUGGGCGCGGUGGCUCAUGCCUGUAAUCCUAGCACGCUGGGAGCCCAAGGAGGGAGGAUUGUUUGAGCUCAGGAGUUUGAGACCAGCCUGAGCAAGAGCGAGACCCU